AUACCGCGAAACUGCGAAUGGCUCAUUAAAUCAGUUAUCGUUUAUUUGAUAGUACCUUUCCUACUUGGAUAACCGUGGUAAUUCUAGGGCUAAUACAUGCUAAAAAUCCCGACUUCGGAAGGGAUGCAUUUAUCAGACUCAGAACCAAUGCCCUCCGGGGCUCCUUGGUGAAUCAUGAUAACUCCGCGGAUCGCACGGCCUUGCGCCGGCGAUGGUUCAUUCAAAUUUCUGCCCUAUCAACUUUCGACGGCUGGGUAUUGGCCAGCCGUGGUGACAACGGGUAACGGAGGGUUAGGGCUCGACCCCGGAGAAGGAGCCUGAGAGACGGCUACUACAUCCAAGGAAGGCAGCAGGCGCGCAAAUUACCCAAUCCCGACUCGGGGAGGUAGUGACAAUAAAUACUGAUCCAGGGCUCUUUUGGGUCUUGGAAUUGGAAUGAGUACAAUUUAAAUCCCUUAACGAGGAACAAUUGGAGGGCAAGUCUGGUGCCAGCAGCCGCGGUAAUUCCAGCUCCAAUAGCGUAUAUUAAAGUUGUUGAGGUUAAAAAGCUCGUAGUUGAACCUUGGGCCUGGCUGGCCGGUCCGCCUCACCGCGUGCACUGGUCCGGCCGGGCCUUUCCCUCUGGGGAGCCGCAUGCCCUUCACUGGGUGUGUCGGGGAACCAGGACUUUUACUGUGAACAAAUCAGAUCGCUCAAAGAAGGCUCUCGCUCGAAUGCAUUAGCAUGGAAUAAUGAAAUAGGACGUGCGGUUCUAUUUUGUUGGUUUCUAGGACCGCCGUAAUGAUUAAUAGGGACAGUCGGGGGCAUCCGUAUUCAAUCGUCAGAGGUGAAAUUCUUGGAUCGAUUGAAGACGAACUACUGCGAAAGCAUUUGCCAAGGAUGUUUUCAUUAAUCAGGAACGAAAGUUAGGGGAUCGAAGACGAUCAGAUACCGUCGUAGUCUUAACCAUAAACUAUGCCGAUUAGGGAUCGGACGAUGUUAUUUUUUGACUCGUUCGGCACCUUACGAAAAAUC
rnacentral:rRNA from 1 species